GAUGAACGCUGGCGGCGCGCCUAACACAUGCAAGUCGAACGAGUAACACGCCUUCGGGCGUGGAUAGAGUGGCGAACGGGUGAGUAACACGUGACCAACCUGCCCCCUCCUCCGGGACAGCCUCGGGAAACCGAGGCUAAUACCGGAUACUCCGGGCCCCCCGCAUGGGGGGCCCGGGAAAGCCCUGGCGGGAGGGGAUGGGGUCGCGGCCCAUCAGGUAGACGGCGGGGUAACGGCCCACCGUGCCUGCAACGGGUAGCCGGGCUGAGAGGCCGAUCGGCCACAUUGGGACUGAGACACGGCCCAGACUCCUACGGGAGGCAGCAGUGGGGAAUUUUGCGCAAUGGGGGCAACCCUGACGCAGCGACGCCGCGUGCGGGACGAAGUCAUUCGUGACGUAAACCGCUUUCAGCGAGGAAGAACCAUGACGGUACUCGCAGAAGAAGCCCCGGCUAACUACGUGCCAGCAGCCGCGGUAAUACGUAGGGGGCGAGCGUUAUCCGGAAUCAUUGGGCGUAAAGCGCGCGCAGGCGGGCUUUCAAGCGGCGGCGUCGAAGCCGGGGGCUCAACCCCCGGAAGCGCCCCGAACUGGAAGCCUCGGAUGCGGCAGGGGGAGGCGGAAUUCCCGGUGUAGCGGUGAAAUGCGCAGAUAUCGGGAAGAACACCGACGGCGAAGGCAGCCUCCUGGGCCGGCAUCGACGCUGAGGCGCGAAAGCUGGGGGAGCGAACAGGAUUAGAUACCCUGGUAGUCCCAGCCGUAAACGAUGGACGCUAGGUGUGGGGGGAACAUCCCUCCGUGUCGAAGCCAACGCAUUAAGCGUCCCGCCUGGGGAGUACGGCCGCAAGGCUAAAACUCAAAGGAAUUGACGGGGGCCCGCACAAGCAGCGGAGCAUGUGGCUUAAUUCGAAGCAACGCGAAGAACCUUAUCAGGGCUUGACAUAUCGGUGAAGCCGGAGAGAUCCGGUGUCCGAGAGGAGCCGAUACAGGUGGCGCAUGGCUGUUGUCAGCUCGUGCCGUGAGGUGUUGGGUUAAGUCCCGCAACGAGCGCAACCCCCGCCGCGUGUUGCCAGCAUUCAGUUGGGCACUCACGCGGGACUGCCGGCGUCAAUCCGGAGGAAGGCGGGGAGGACGUCAAGUCAUCAUGCCCCUCAUGCCCUGGGCCGCACACGUGCUACAAUGGCCGGCACAACGGGUUGCCACCCCGCGAGGGGGAGCGGAUCCCUAAAGCCGGCCCCAGUUCGGAUCGCAGGCUGCAACCCGCCCGCGUGAAGCCGGAGUUGCUAGUAAUCGCGGAUCAGCACGCCGCGGUGAAUACGUUCCCGGGCCUUGCAC
rnacentral:rRNA from 1 species